GGAGUUAGCCGGUGCUUCUUCUGUGAGUGAUGUCCUUCCUGCCGGCUAUUAACCCGCAGGCCUUCUUCCUCACUGAAAGUGCUUUACAACCCGAAGGCCUUCUUCACACACGCGGCAUGGCUGGAUCAGGGUUGCCCCCAUUGUCCAAUAUUCCCCACUGCUGCCUCCCGUAGGAGUCUGGGCCGUGUCUCAGUCCCAGUGUGGCUGAUCAUCCUCUCAGACCAGCUACGGAUCGUCGCCUUGGUGAGCCGUUACCUCACCAACCAGCUAAUCCGACAUAGGCUCAUCCGAUAGCGCGAGGCCCGAAGGUCCCCCGCUUUCCCCCGUAGGGCGUAUGCGGUAUUAGCCUGGGUUUCCCCAGGUUAUCCCCCACUACCGGGCAGAUUCCUAUGCAUUACUCACCCGUCCGCCGCUCGCCACCAGGGAGCAAGCUCCCCGUGCUGCCGCUCGACUUGCAUGUGUUAGGCCUGCCGCCAGCGUUCAAUCUGAGCAGANACGACCACGA
rnacentral:rRNA from 1 species